rnacentral:rRNA from 1 species
AAAUUGAAGAGUUUGAUCAUGGCUCAGAUUGAACGCUGGCGGCAGGCCUAACACAUGCAAGUCGAACGGUAACAGGAAGCAGCUUGCUGCUUUGCUGACGAGUGGCGGACGGGUGAGUAAUGUCUGGGAAACUGCCUGAUGGAGGGGGGAUAACUACUGGAAACGGUGGCUAAUACCGCAUAACGUCGCAAGACCAAAGAGGGGGACCUUCGGGCCUCUUGCCAUCAGAUGUGCCCAGAUGGGAUUAGCUAGUUGGUGAGGUAACGGCUCACCAAGGCGACGAUCCCUAGCUGGUCUGAGAGGAUGACCAGCCACACUGGAACUGAGACACGGUCCAGACUCCUACGGGAGGCAGCAGUGGGGAAUAUUGCACAAUGGGCGCAAGCCUGAUGCAGCCAUGCCGCGUGUAUGAAGAAGGCCUUCGGGUUGUAAAGUACUUUCAGCGGGGAGGAAGGUGUUGUGGUUAAUAACCGCAGCAAUUGACGUUACCCGCAGAAGAAGCACCGGCUAACUCCGUGCCAGCAGCCGCGGUAAUACGGAGGGUGCAAGCGUUAAUCGGAAUUACUGGGCGUAAAGCGCACGCAGGCGGUCUGUCAAGUCGGAUGUGAAAUCCCCGGGCUCAACCUGGGAACUGCAUUCGAAACUGGCAGGCUUGAGUCUUGUAGAGGGGGGUAGAAUUCCAGGUGUAGCGGUGAAAUGCGUAGAGAUCUGGAGGAAUACCGGUGGCGAAGGCGGCCCCCUGGACAAAGACUGACGCUCAGGUGCGAAAGCGUGGGGAGCAAACAGGAUUAGAUACCCUGGUAGUCCACGCCGUAAACGAUGUCUACUUGGAGGUUGUGCCCUUGAGGCGUGGCUUCCGGAGCUAACGCGUUAAGUAGACCGCCUGGGGAGUACGGCCGCAAGGUUAAAACUCAAAUGAAUUGACGGGGGCCCGCACAAGCGGUGGAGCAUGUGGUUUAAUUCGAUGCAACGCGAAGAACCUUACCUGGUCUUGACAUCCACAGAAGAAUCCAGAGAUGGAUUUGUGCCUUCGGGAACUGUGAGACAGGUGCUGCAUGGCUGUCGUCAGCUCGUGUUGUGAAAUGUUGGGUUAAGUCCCGCAACGAGCGCAACCCUUAUCCUUUGUUGCCAGCGGUUAGGCCGGGAACUCAAAGGAGACUGCCAGUGAUAAACUGGAGGAAGGUGGGGAUGACGUCAAGUCAUCAUGGCCCUUACGACCAGGGCUACACACGUGCUACAAUGGCGCAUACAAAGAGAAGCGACCUCGCGAGAGCAAGCGGACCUCAUAAAGUGCGUCGUAGUCCGGAUUGGAGUCUGCAACUCGACUCCAUGAAGUCGGAAUCGCUAGUAAUCGUGGAUCAGAAUGCCACGGUGAAUACGUUCCCGGGCCUUGUACACACCGCCCGUCACACCAUGGGAGUGGGUUGCAAAAGAAGUAGGUAGCUUAACCUUCGGGAGGGCGCUUACCACUUUGUGAUUCAUGACUGGGGUGAAGUCGUAACAAGGUAACCGUAGGGGAACCUGCGGUUGGAUCACCUCCUUA